AUUUUUCCAUUCCAUCCCCAUCCUUCUAGGCGCUGUGUAAGAGUAAGAAAAGAAAACUGAUCUCUUAUUUUCAUUAUUCAAAAGUUCAACUAACUCAACUCCUGACUCAUCUUCGCCGUGAGCUCUCAAAGAAAACUCAGCUCACUCUUACGCCCUUCCAUGCCGGCAAGCUCCAAGGAAAAGCACCUCGAACACCAUAGUUCAUCUUCUUGUAUUCUUCUCCCUGUUCAAUCGAACAUCAAAUUCCAAGCUUUGCAUGUUCAUUCCCUUCCUCACUGAUUCGGUCAAGUGUAGCAAACAAGGGGACUGCAACAUGAACUUAUCAUUCCCUUCCUCUUGUUCGGCCGUAGGCCCAUCUUAAGGAGCUGCAACCGACCCCUUUGGAGUCUAUGAAGAGCGAAGGUGAUACUCAUGGAGUGGAGAUUAUUCUCUGCAACUAUUUCUCUCUCGGUUGAUGCCCGGGACAAGUCGUGAGCAUUUUGGUGCGUUUUAGGAGGUGCUAAGGUCUCUAGUCAAAGGAAGUUGGACUGAUUUGUGAAUGUUUUGAUUAAAAAGCUAAAGUGUCAAGGAGUACGAAAGAGCAUUUGAUGAUGAUGUACUUGUAUUGGGGAUAUUCUGUUUACAUGCUGCUGUUGGAAAUUCUAUUGUCUGUUUACUGAUUUUGCUGAAUGCGCAUGAAAUAUUUGACGUUAGUGUAAUAUUUGGGAGAUUAGAAAAAUGCUAGAUCAUAUAUUAUUUUGCUGUAAUUUGGGAUUUAUGUACUGUUUGUAAAUUACGUAAUGUUAAACUCGUUUGCGAAAAUAAUUUCUGUCUGUUUUCAAAUUCGGAUUUUCUGAAACUGAUACUUGCGAGCACCUUGCGAGUUCUGUUUCUGGGGCUACAGAUCUCCGUUUGAGGCAUAAUUUAUAUG